GCUCAGACCCACCCAGAAUAAUUUCCUUUUUAAUUAACUUAAAGUAAAUUAACCAGGUUUGCUAAAGUAAUUGUGGUGAUAGAAAUGUAUUAGUCUCAGAAGCUACUGAGGUGGUUCAUUCUAUUCUAGUACAGUG